GGCACUGUGGCUUAAUUGGUCAAAGCACCUGUCUUGUAAACAGGAGAUCCUGGUUGUGAAUCCCAGCAGUGCCU